rnacentral:rRNA from 1 species
UACGUAGGGUGCAAGCGUUAAUCGGAAUUACUGGGCGUAAAGCGUGCGCAGGCGGUGAUGUAAGACAGGUGUGAAAUCCCCGGGCUUAACCUGGGAACUGCGCUUGUUACUGGCAGGCUUGAGUGUGGCAGGAGGGGGGUGGAAUUCCGACGUGUAGCAGUGAAAUGCGUAGAGAUGUGGAGGAACACCGAUGGCGAAGGCAGCCCCCUGGGCUAACACUGACGCUCAUGCACGAAAGCGUGGGGAGCAAACAGG